UCCCCCGUAGCUCAGCAGGGAGAGCGCCACCUUGACAGGGUGGAGGUCCCUAGUUCGAUGACAGUCGGGAUUA
rnacentral:tRNA from 1 species